GUCUCCAUAGCUCAGUGGUUUAGAGCGGCCGCCUGCAGUCACGGCUGUACAGCGGCAGGUCACGUGUUCAAAUCACGUUGGGGACU
rnacentral:tRNA from 1 species